GAUGAACGCUAGCGGCAGGCCUAACACAUGCAAGUCGAGGGAGGAGCCUUCGGGCUUCGACCGGCGUACGGGUGCGUAACGCGUAUACAAUCUGCCUUUCACAUAGGGAUAGCCCGAAGAAAUUUGGAUUAAUACCUAAUGGUAUAUAGAUGUGGCAUCACCUUUAUAUUAAAGCUGAGGCGGUGAAAGAUGAGUAUGCGUUCUAUUAGCUAGUUGGAGAGGUAACGGCUCCCUAAGGCGACGAUAGAUAGGGGUUCUGAGAGGGAUAUCCCCCACACUGGUACUGAGAUACGGACCAGACUCCUACGGGAGGCAGCAGUGAGGAAUAUUGGACAAUGGUCGGAAGACUGAUCCAGCCAUGCCGCGUGCAGGAAGACGGCCUUAUGGGUUGUAAACUGCUUUUGCAGGGGAAGAAUAAGGACUACGCGUAGUUUGAUGACGGUACUCUGCGAAUAAGCAUCGGCUAACUCCGUG
rnacentral:rRNA from 1 species